rnacentral:rRNA from 1 species
UACGUAGGGGGCGAGCGUUGUCCGGAUUUAUUGGGCGUAAAGAGCGUGUAGGCGGCCAGGUAGGUCUGCUGUGAAAACUCGAGGCUCAACCUCGAGACGUCGGCGGAAACCAUCUGGCUAGAGUCCGGAAGAGGAGAGUGGAAUUCCUGGUGUAGCGGUGAAAUGCGCAGAUAUCAGGAAGAACACCCGUGGCGAAGGCGGCUCUCUGGGACGGUACUGACGCUGAGACGCGAAAGCGUGGGGAGCGAACCGG